rnacentral:ribozyme from 1 species
AAACAAUCACUUGAACUUGACUGAGAGAAGCUCAUGAAUCAUGAUGGCCUCUCAAUAUGAUGGACAGCGACAAAACCACCGUCGUUUCUUGUAUGCAUGCAGCAACAUUGAACCAAACAUCGGGUC